GAUGAACGCUGGCGGCGUGCUUAACACAUGCAAGUCGAACGGAAAGGCCCAAGCUUGCUUGGGUACUCGAGUGGCGAACGGGUGAGUAACACGUGGGUGAUCUGCCCUGCACUUCGGGAUAAGCCUGGGAAACUGGGUCUAAUACCGGAUAGGACCACAUUUUGGAUGGUGUGGUGGAAAGUUUUUCGGUGUGGGAUGAGCUCGCGGCCUAUCAGCUUGUUGGUGGGGUAAUGGCCUACCAAGGCGUCGACGAGUAGCCGGCCUGAGAGGGUGUACGGCCACAUUGGGACUGAGAUACGGCCCAGACUCCUACGGGAGGCAGCAGUGGGGAAUAUUGCACAAUGGGCGCAAGCCUGAUGCAGCGACGCCGCGUGGGGGAUGACGGCCUUCGGGUUGUAAACUCCUUUCGCUAGGGACGAAGCGUUUUUGUGACGGUACCUGGAGAAGAAGCACCGGCUAACUACGUG
rnacentral:rRNA from 1 species